UAGUACGAAAUUUUAUUCGCAGUGUGUA
rnacentral:sRNA from 1 species